UAGGGAGUCUUCGGCAAUGGACGGAAGUCUGACCGAGCAACGCCGCGUGAGUGAAGAAGGUUUUCGGAUCGUAAAGCUCUGUUGUAAGAGAAGAACGAGUGUGAGAGUGGAAAGUUCACACUGUGACGGUAUCUUACCAGAAAGGGACGGCUAACUACGUGCCGGCAGCCGCGGUAAUACGUAGGUCCCGAGCGUUGUCCGGAUUUAUUGGGCGUAAAGCGAGCGCAGGCGGUUAGAUAAGUCUGAAGUUAAAGGCUGUGGCUUAACCAUAGUACGCUUUGGAAACUGUUUAACUUGAGUGCAAGAGGGGAGAGUGGAAUUCCAUGUGUAGCGGUGAAAUGCGUAGAUAUAUGGAGGAACACCGGUGGCGAAAGCGGCUCUCUGGCUUGUAACUGACGCUGAGGCUCGAAAGCGUGGGGAGCAAACAGGAUUAGAUACCCUGGUAGUCCACGCCGUAAACGAUGAGUGCUAGGUGUUAGACCCUUUCCGGGGUUUAGUGCCGUAGCUAACGCAUUAAGCACUCCGCCUGGGGAGUACGACCGCAAGGUUG
rnacentral:rRNA from 1 species